rnacentral:lncRNA from 1 species
UUUUAAGAAUGUGGAUAUUUGGGUCAUCUUUGGCGCCCCCUAGAACCUAAACCGUGGGGUGCAGCGUCAUGAUUUGUACAACUUUUAAUGGCCAUGGGGUGUAGAUUGGCCUGAGCAAAUGUGGUGCCGGUGGAACGAAUGCCUUCGGAGGAGUUAGCAAAAUUCCAAUGUGUGCAGAUCUGCAAAAAAUGCGAAAUAACCCUCUAACCGUACAUUUCACAGAUGCGCCCGCGCUGACUUUUUUGUAGACCGUAUUGAGAUACACGUGUGUGUCAAUUUUUGUGUCAUUUUGACAAAGCGUAUAGGCGUGACAGUCAACAAUGUGUUUUUUCACCUUAGGGGACAAGAAAAAAUGGACUUUUUUCUCCUGCCAUGGGGGGGCGCUCUUUUCGGGAGUAAAAAUUCCUUUACAAAUGUGUUGAUGGCUGGACAUUGCAUCAUCCUAGAAAACUUGGAGGCCAGUGAGGACAAAAAUAAAAAGUUAUAAGACUAUUAAGAAUGUGGAUUUUUGGGUUAUCUUUGGCGCCCCCUAGAACCUAAACCGUGGAGUGCAGCGUCAUGAUUUGUACAACUUUUAAUGGCCAUGGGGGUUAGAUUGGCCUGAGCAAAUUUGGUGCCGGUGGAACGAAAGCCUUCGGAGGAGUUAGCGAAAUUCCAAUGUGUGCGGAUCGGCAAAAAAUGCGAAAUAGCCCUUUAAACGUACAUUUGACAGAUACGCCCGCACUGACUUUUUUGUAGAUCUUAUUGAGAUACACGUGUGUGUCAAAUUUUGUGUCACUAUGACAAAGCGUACAGGCGUGACAGUCAAUAGUGUGAAUUUUCGCCUUAGGGGGCGCUAUGGAGCCAUUUUGCAUUUUAUUGUUUGGGCGACUUCAGAAUAUCGAAUUUUUCACCAGGCCCGGUCGUCCUGCCAAAUUUCAUGAGUUUUCGCCAGUGGGAAGUGGGCCAUUUUCCCCUUCAAAGGGGAGGAAAAAUAAGAAGAAAGAAAGAAAGAACUAGGACCCCGUUGGGGCACUGGCGGGCCCAAGCUGUGUCACGUCCCCCCCCCAACGCGCUGCCUCCCCGUCCCAUUUGUGUCCUCUGGCCAUCGCCCUCUUUGGUAACGCCCAUCACUGCAAAGACCCUUUUCCUUCAUCGGCGUUUGCUGUUCUUCCUGCCAGUGCGUGUUGCUUUCACUUACACUUGCCACAGCCAGCCUCGUGAGUGCCUAGCCUAUUGGAUAUCACUGUCACCUACACAGGACAGUCAUUACCUUUCUAUUAAUACUUUGCGUUUUAAUUUCACAUUAAUUUCCAAAUUGUAUAAACGACUGGAAAAAACUUGAGCCCCUGCCCCUGUAUAAUCAUGUGCACGUCUCUGUUCUAGCUCUAAGGUAAAUCUUCACUGCUCAUGUUCUCCUCAGAAGCAGUCACCUCACUCCCCUCAGGUUACUGUACACAUGCACCAACUGCCUGCUUCAGGUUUGGAUGGAGCUUCAUGGUUGUCUUUUGGAGAAAUGACCAGUCAAGUUGUGUUUGAAAUUUGAUUUUUUUCAGGGGCAAAAGGAGCCUCUGCAUUCUUGUCAAAUAUGUAAAUAGCAUGUUUUUGCAGGUGCUACAAACCAGACUCUGAGUGUGUGUGUGUGCGUGUGUGUGUGUGUCUGUGUGUGUGUGUGUGUGUGUGUGUGCGCGUUCAAGUCACAUGACAUAUUUAACCGGAUGUAGCUGCAAGACGGAGCCUCGUUGACUCUCCGUUUUAAUUUAUCUCAAAAGUGAGGACCUCAACCUAUAUACCAGUUUUUAAAUUGUGUUGAUAGGCCAAAUAAAACCAGAGUUAUGAUAAAUUAUGUCCGCGAUACUUGUUUUCUGCUUAUUUUGAUCACGUUCGGCGCUCGAUCGCGCUGUAUGAGACAGGAAAACAUAGCAUGCAGACAUUAGCGACAGGUCUUACAGGCGGAAAAGGCUUGCCAAAGGAAAAAAAAUACACACCACAACAUCUCUCCUAUUGGUGGAAAACUUCACCACAACAACCAAUCCAAAAUUAUAUGGUGACUGAUUGACAAGGGGCGGGCGCUUACGUUCUUCCUGCAAUAUGAGAAGGGAGGGAGGGACUCUCAGCAGGGAUGCAGUCUGGGACACGUAGUUGCAAACCUAGCGACUUUGUUGUAGAUUCAAUGACUUUUCAGACCCCCUAACGACUUUUUUUUUAGAAAGAAAGGGACUUUUAUCAACUUCUUCUGGAGUUUAGAAACUCUGACAUGAAGCAGGCUUUCCUUACUGAGGAGUUAGCAACGCUGCUAAGGGUGCAGAGACACACAUGAGCUCCGAGCUCUGCAUGGGAGACUGAAGCUGACAGGGCUGCAGCAGUUAGCAGGUUUCACCCUCAGAGACCACCAGGGGUUCAUGUUGAGGCAUUUUCAGUUUUUUUUUUUUUUUUUUGCCAUAGACACUGUCAGCACAAUCUGCAGUUACACUAACAAAAAAGCUGCAAAAAACAAAGAAUUAUGGAAAAAUUACACAUGGACUGACAUAGAGGAGGAUCUACACAAGUUUUUUACAUCAUGUUUUACAUCAUGCAUCAUUUACAUCAUGUUUUUUUGUAGUGGCAUAAAUAAAAAGUGACAUUUGUGAGACUAUACAGUGUUUUGUAAAUAAUUUUACAAAGAACGCCUGGGCCAUUGCCUGCAUUUUGAUGUAAAUAGAGGUAAAUUACUAUGUUCUUUGUUAAAAAUUUGCAUAUGUUUUGAAGUUUACAAUUUUUAUUUGAAGUUUAAGUUUUAAAAACAGUUCAUCACACAUAUUUGUGGUUUUCACAGUAAAAAUGUUACUUUUUUCCACUCGGAUUUUAUGUUUUGUGUGUGAAUUUGGGUCCAUUGUGUAAAUUCAGUAUGUCAACAUGAUAAAAUAACUGUAAAUUCGCACAGGUGAGGUUGUGCUGAAAAAAAUGAUACCAGGCAAGGCAAGGUAAAAAAUUUUUAAGAGGAAAUAUAAAGGUAAAAUCUAAAGUAGUCAAAAAAGGCCAAUAGUGACUCACAGACUCCACAGACUAGUCCCUUUGGCGCCACUCAGUGGGCAAAACUACUUUGUCUGCUGUAAUGUAUAUUUGGGUCAUCUUU